GGGUUGAUGAUGACUACCUCAAUUGUGGAAGAGAAGUGAUGAAUAAAAAAAUCAUAACCUGAGGAUUGAGCUGAGGCCC